GAUGAACGCUGGCGGCGUGCCUAAUACAUGCAAGUCGAGCGAACGGACGAGAAGCUUGCUUCUCUGAUGUUAGCGGCGGACGGGUGAGUAACACGUGGAUAACCUACCUAUAAGACUGGGAUAACUUCGGGAAACCGGAGCUAAUACCGGAUAAUAUUUUGAACCGCAUGGUUCAAAAGUGAAAGACGGUCUUGCUGUCACUUAUAGAUGGAUCCGCGCUGCAUUAGCUAGUUGGUAAGGUAACGGCUUACCAAGGCAACGAUGCAUAGCCGACCUGAGAGGGUGAUCGGCCACACUGGAACUGAGACACGGUCCAGACUCCUACGGGAGGCAGCAGUAGGGAAUCUUCCGCAAUAGGCGAAAGCCUGACGGAGCAACGCCGCGUGAGUGAUGAAGGUCUUCGGAUCGUAAAACUCUGUUAUUAGGGAAGAACAUAUGUGUAAGUAACUGUGCACAUCUUGACGGUACCUAAUCAGAAAGCCACGGCUAACUACGU
rnacentral:rRNA from 1 species